rnacentral:rRNA from 1 species
AACAGUACCGUUCGAUAGGGCGUACCUUGACGGUACCUAACCAGAAAGCCACGGCUAACUACGUGCCAGCAGCCGCGGUAAUACGUAGGUGGCAAGCGUGUCCGGAAUUAUUGGGCGUAAAGGGCUCGCAGGCGGUUUCUUAAGUCUGAUGUGAAAGCCCCCGGCUCAACCGGGGAGGGUCAUUGGAAACUGGGGAACUUGAGUGCAGAAGAGGAGAGUGGAAUUCCACGUGUAGCGGUGAAAUGCGUAGAGAUGUGGAGGAACACCAGUGGCGAAGGCGACUCUCUGGUCUGUAACUGACGCUGAGGAGCGAAAGCGUGGGGAGCGAACAGGAUUAGAUACCCUGGUAGUCCACGCCGUAAACGAUGAGUGCUAAGUGUUAGGGGGUUUCCGCCCCUUAGUGCUGCAGCUAACGCAUUAAGCACUCCGCCUGGGGAGUACGGUCGCAAGACUGAAACUCAAAGGAAUUGACGGGGGCCCGCACAAGCGGUGGAGCAUGUGGUUUAAUUCGAAGCAACGCGAAGAACCUUACCAGGUCUUGACAUCCUCUGACAAUCCUAGAGAUAGGACUUCCCCUUCGGGGGCAGAGUGACAGGUGGUGCAUGGUUGUCGUCAGCUCGUGUCGUGAGAUGUUGGGUUAAGUCCCGCAACGAGCGCAACCCUUGAUCUUAGUUGCCAGCAUUCAGUUGGGCACUCUAAGGUGACUGCCGGUGACAAACCGGAGGAAGGUGGGGAUGACGUCAAAUCAUCAUGCCCCUUAUGACCUGGGCUACACACGUGCUACAAUGGACAGAACAAAGGGCAGCGAAACCGCGAGGUUAAGCCAAUCCCACAAAUCUGUUCUCAGUUCGGAUCGCAGUCUGCAACUCGACUGCGUGAAGCUGGAAUCGCUAGUAAUCGCGGAUCAGCA